rfam:Streptomyces sp. WM6368 P399contig137.3, whole genome shotgun sequence.
GGUCGUGACUGCGUGCCUUUUGAAGAAUGAGCCUGCGAGUUAGCGGUGUGUAGCGAGGUUAACCCGUGUGGGGAAGCCGUAGCGAAAGCGAGUCCGAAUAGGGCGAUUGAGUUGCACGCUCUAGACCCGAAGCGGAGUGAUCUAGCCAUGGGCAGGUUGAAGCGGAGGUAAGACUUCGUGGAGGACCGAACCCACCAGGGUUGAAAACCUGGGGGAUGACCUGUGGUUAGGGGUGAAAGGCCAAUCAAACUCCGUGAUAGCUGGUUCUCCCCGAAAUGCAUUUAGGUGCAGCGUCGUGUGUUUCUUGCCGGAGGUAGAGCACUGGAUAGGCGAUGGGCCCUACCGGGUUACUGACCUUAGCCAAACUCCGAAUGCCGGUAAGUGAGAGCACGGCAGUGAGACUGUGGGGGAUAAGCUCCAUGGUCGAGAGGGAAACAGCCCAGAGCAUCGACUAAGGCCCCUAAGCGUACGCUAAGUGGGAAAGGAUGUGGAGUCGCAGAGACAACCAGGAGGUUGGCUUAGAAGCAGCCACCCUUGAAAGAGUGCGUAAUAGCUCACUGGUCAAGUGAUUCCGCGCCGACAAUGUAGCGGGGCUCAAGCGUACCGCCGAAGUCGUGUCAUUGCAGCAAUAGGGCCAACGCCCGCUGUGAUGGGUAGGGGAGCGUCGUGUGCCGGGUGAAGCAGCAGCGGAAGCUAGUUGUGGACGGUUCACGAGUGAGAAUGCAGGCAUGAGUAGCGAUACACACGUGAGAAACGUGUGCGCCGAUUGACUAAGGGUUCCUGGGUCAAGCUGAUCUGCCCAGGGUAAGUCGGGACCUAAGGCGAGGCCGACAGGCGUAGUCGAUGGACAACCGGUUGAUAUUCCGGUACCCGCUUUGAAACGCCCAAUAUCGAAUCAGGCGAUGCUAAGUCCGUGAAGCCGUUCCGGACCCUUCGGGGAAAGGAAAGUGGUGGAGCCGACGAACCAGACUUGUAGUAGGUAAGCGAUGGGGUGACGCAGGAAGGUAGUCCAGCCCGGGCGGUGGUAGUCCCGGGGUAAGGGUGUAGGCCGAGGGGUAGGCAAAUCCGUCCCUCAUUAAGGCUGAGACCUGAUGCCGAGCCGAUUGUGGUGAAGUGGAUGAUCCUAUGCUGUCGAGAAAAGCCUCUAGCGAGUUUCAUGGCGGCCCGUACCCUAAACCGACUCAGGUGGUCAGGUAGAGAAUACCGAGGCGUUCGGGUGAACUAUGGUUAAGGAACUCGGCAAAAUGCCCCCGUAACUUCGGGAGAAGGGGGGCCAUCACUGGUGAUCGGAUUUACUCCGUGAGCUGGGGGUGGCCGCAGAGACCAGCGAGAAGCGACUGUUUACUAAAAACACAGGUCCGUGCGAAGCCGUAAGGCGAUGUAUACGGACUGACGCCUGCCCGGUGCUGGAACGUUAAGGGGACCGGUUAGUGACCUUUCGGGGUUGCGAAGCUGAGAACUUAAGCGCCAGUAAACGGCGGUGGUAACUAUAACCAUCCUAAGGUAGCGAAAUUCCUUGUCGGGUAAGUUCCGACCUGCACGAAUGGCGUAACGACUUCUCGACUGUCUCAACCAUAGGCCCGGUGAAAUUGCACUACGAGUAAAGAUGCUCGUUUCGCGCAGCAGGACGGAAAGACCCCGGGACCUUUACUACAGUUUGAUAUUGGUGUUCGGUUCGGCUUGUGUAGGAUAGGUGGGAGACUUUGAAGCAGCCACGCCAGUGGUUGUGGAGUCGCCGUUGAAAUACCACUCUGGUCGUGCUGGAUGUCUAACCUCGGUCCGUGAUCCGGAUCAGGGACAGUGUCUGAUGGGUAGUUUAACUGGGGCGGUUGCCUCCCAAAGGGUAACGGAGGCGCCCAAAGGUUCCCUCAGCCUGGUUGGCAAUCAGGUGUUGAGUGUAAGUGCACAAGGGAGCUUGACUGUGAGACCGACGGGUCGAGCAGGGACGAAAGUCGGGACUAGUGAUCCGGCGGUGGCUUGUGGAAGCGCCGUCGCUCAACGGAUAAAAGGUACCCCGGGGAUAACAGGCUGAUCUUCCCCAAGAGUCCAUAUCGACGGGAUGGUUUGGCACCUCGAUGUCGGCUCGUCGCAUCCUGGGGCUGGAGUCGGUCCCAAGGGUUGGGCUGUUCGCCCAUUAAAGCGGUACGCGAGCUGGGUUUAGAACGUCGUGAGACAGUUCGGUCCCUAUCCGCUGUGCGCGUAGGAAUAUUGAGAAGGGCUGUCCCUAGUACGAGAGGACCGGGACGGACGAACCUCUGGUGUGCCAGUUGUCCUGCCAAGGGCACGGCUGGUUGGCUACGUUCGGGAGGGAUAACCGCUGAAAGCAUCUAAGCGGGAAGCCUGCUUCAAGAUGAGUAUUCCCACCUCCUUGAGAGGGUAAGGCUCCCAGUAGACGACUGGGUUGAUAGGCCAGAUGUGGAAGCCCGGUAACGGGUGAAGCUGACUGGUACUAAUAGGCCGAGGGCUUGUCCUC